GCAAGUCGGACGGUAGGGAUUCUUUCGGGAAUUUUGAGAGUUGCGCACGGGUGCGUAACGAGUAUGCAACCUACCUUUUACCGGGGGAUAGCCCAGGGAAACCCAGAUUAAUAACCAUAGUAUCAGUUUACGGCAUCUUUUACUGAUUAAAGAUUCAUCGGUAAAAGAUGGGCAUGCGUAGGAUUAGCUAGUUGGCGGGGUAACGGCCCACCAAGGCGACGAUCCUUAGGGGUUCUGAGAGGAAGGUC
rnacentral:rRNA from 1 species